AUACUCCUCCACCACCUCCACCUUUUCUCCCAUGAUGGAAAUAGUGUUUGACCUAUUCUUGUUUCUCUUAAAAUUUGCAAUUAUCUCCUUUGUUUAAAUCAUGUUCAAGAUGAGAUGAUUUAUAUCAUCAUACGGAUGUUGGCGUAAUGAUGUAUUUUCAUUUAGAAGCUUUUUUACUAAACAUAUAGGCAGGGCUGUGUGUUUUAAAUAAUAAUAAUAAUAGCUUGGUGUCACAGCAAAUUGGUGUUCCUGUUGGUUUCAGAUUUGGAUGACUUUGCACUUGUCUAAAUUGUUGCCUAGCAACAUUUUGAAAUAGGUUUAGUUUUGUAUUAAACCACUUCUAAAUUGUAGAAGAUUAAAAACUGAUGUUUCGUUAUGAAUGCCAACACAAGUAUAGGAACAGUUUAAAAUCGCCUCCAAUGAAAUUAUUCAGCUCAGAUCGGAUCAGUCCAAAUAUGUCAGAUAUUUGUUUUUUUAUGUUUUUUGCUACUGAAAAGUAUUUAUUUUUUUUAGUAUGUAAAGCACGUUGAAUUGUCUUGUUGCGAAAACAUGCAAUACAAAUAAACUGUCCUUGCCAGUAAACUAUAAAUGAACAAUAAAGGUCCGGGCUGACUAAAACAUUGUGUAAUAGCCCUUUAGUUUAGCGCCGAUUGGAAGCUAACCGUUAACUAUUCUCCCGGUGUUUACGAGUCUUUCAUAAGCUGUCUGCCACUCUGUCUGUUUCUGUUUUCCACUGGGUUCCCCAAAAUACCGUCAAAUACUUCGACAAUAACAGAAGUUUCUUUGAUGCAUUUCUAAUCGAGAGUCGUCGGUCAACCCGUCUCAGCAACUUCCCUUUACUCCUUUCAAAAUAACAGUGUUAAACAAAGCUGGUUAUCAAGCUUUAAGUCACGCUGGCAGCCACUGUGUAACUUUGUCAAGAAAUAUCGCUGCGUUAUAAUACCGCGAGAUCCUGUUCUACGAGAUAAUAUCAUGGAACGUCACUUGAGAAAUACAUGUGAUUCGAAAAUCUGAUGACAUCUUGGAACGUGAUGUCACAACAUGCCUUUGUGACGUAUCAAAGGACUAUACAUGGUAAAUAACCAGAUAAGCUUGUUUUUCACUUGUCUUGGUCUUGGAUCCAGCAGGAAGAUUGUCAUUGAAAGCUCAAGUCAACCUUAGUUUGAAGAAUUUGUCUGAGAAAUUUAAGAACUUCACAAAGAUUAACUUAAGGCUUUUACAUUAUAAUUUGCACAGCACUGUAAUCUAAAGUCUCGACAUGGCUGCACAAAGAAAGAGGACAAAACUGCAUCUGAACCAGAGUGGAGCAAUUUCUGCUGAUGUUCUUCAGACUGAUCUGCCAACGUUCAAUGGAGAAAAACUAUCUACCUUCCAAAACAACCAGGUUAGUAGAAAAACCACGGAGGGUCAAAGUGUCACACAGACCUCUGAAACCGACACUCAAGCCUGUCAAACCAGGGGACGAACAGAGAAGGUUGGGAAUGAUACUGAACCAUCUGUACGACCACGCAAGUGUUCCAGAAAGAGGAAAUGGAUCGAAACUGAUCCCUCUGCUGACAAUUUUCAGAAACAUUCAAAUGACAAGAUCUCAUCAACAUUCACUGUAUCUUAUUUACCACGCAAUAUAGACCUUUCUGAAUUUGACCUUAUACAGCCUGAUGGAGAAAAACCCUCAACCUCACAAAACUAUCAGGCUCACAGGAAAGUCACAAGGCAAAGGAAAAAUGUUGCAAUGACCUCUCUGGGUGAACACUUAGGGUUCAAUCAGGAAUCUGAGACUCAAACCCAGGCCAAUGGAUAUUCUAGGCAAACGCAGCAGACUGGAAAGCGAUUUGAAAGCGAUUCAGAACCAACUGUACGUCCACACAAACAAUACAGGACGAAGAAGUACAAUUGCCAGUCCUCUGGUGGUUAUUUUCAGAACAAUUCCAAUAAAAGAAGAGAUAACUUUUACAAGCAUUCGACCACUGACCAACAUAAUACCCAUGUCAGUCCUCAGUAUAGCUAUAAUGGGGACGAGUGGGAUAAUUCUGAGUACUAUCCACAUGAGAACUUUAAUCCAGUCAGUAUCACCCAAAACCAAGAACUACCACAAGAAUUUCAGGAUGACAUGAAUCCUCUUCUAAAUGAAAAUCACAUGCUUUGGUCAAUCCUGGAGGAAAAUAACAUUCUUCUUAAGCAAGAGAAGAAAAAGAGAAUUGCGGCAGAGAAAGCUUAUGAUACUUGCAACGAAGAACUGAAACUGCACUAUGAAGAAGCUAAACGAUUCCUGGAAUUUAUUGACCAACAACAAAAUGCUGAAGAAGCAACUCAGGAAGAGCUGGAGAAUCUUAACACAGAAAAUAAGGAACUGCUUAGAAGACUUGCCUUUUUUGAAAACCAACAAGGGGCUAAAGCAGAAAUUCAGCUGGAGUUGGAAAAUCUUAAAAAAGAAAACAAGCAACUGCUUGGAAGACUUGCCUUUUUUGAAAACCAACAAGAGGGUAAAGCAAAAAUUCAUCUGGAGGUAAAAAAUCUUAAAAAAGAAAACAAGGAACUGCUUGGAAAACUGGGAGAAGAACAACUCAAGACAGCAAAACUGAAAAAGCAUGUGGAUUCUGCCUUGUCAUCCACUAACCACCUAUUAGCUGUAGCCCAAUCAGAACAACAGAAACGCAUUGAGGCUGAGAAAAAAUGCAAUAAUUUGUUUGAGCAGCUCAAACAUUAUCAAGACCAGCAGGUUUGUGAGGAAAGUGAGCAGAUACAUACAUCUCUAUUGGUUUGUGAUCCUGAGAUCUUUGAAAAUGCCUUUAAAAUCAACAAAGAAGAAUCAGAUUCUCAGUAUGAAAAGGUCCCAGAAGCCCCAGUUUGUGAUUCUGAGAGCGACACAGAACAAUCCGAUUCUGAGUCUGAAUGGGUCCCAGAAGCCCCAAUUUGUGAUUCUGAGAGCGACACCGAACAAUCCGAUUCUGAGUAUGAAACGGUCCCAGAAGCCCCAAUUUGUGAUUCUGACAGCGACACCGAACAACCCGAUUCUGAAUCUGAAACGGUCCCAAAGUCCCCAGUUUGUGAUUCUGAGAGAAAAAGAGAACAAUCCAAAUCUGAGUCUGAAACGGUCCCAGAAGCCCCAAUUUGUGAUUCUGAGAGCGACACCGAACAAUCCGAUUCUGAGUAUGAAACGGUCCCGGAAGCCCCAAUUUGUGAUUCUGACAGCGACACCGAACAACCCAAUUCUGAAUCUGAAACGGUCCCAAAGUCCCCAGUUUGUGAUUCUGAGAGAAAAAUAGAACAAUCCCAUUCUGAGUCUGAAACGGUCUCAGUGGCCCCAGUUUGUGAUUCUGAGAUCAUCACUGAAGAUCCUGUUUCCAGGUCACAGAUUGUCGAAGCCUCCAAAAAUCAUCAAGGUGAAGUCAAUAUAAAAAUCUCAGAAGCAGGUGGUCGAGGUAGACCAACCAUUCGUAUUAGAAGAGAUCAGAUCGACUUUCUUUUGACCCAAGGACACAUGGUCAAAAGGAUGGCAAACAUCUUAGGAUGCUCAGCAUCAUUUCUUUACAAGAAGUCCAAAGCACAUGGUGUACCAAUAAGGAGAAUGUUAGCUGCAGUGACUGAUGAAGACCUUGGAGCUAAUAUCAGACAACUUUAGGCCCUGUAUCCAAAUUCUGGGAAUGAGAAAUCAUAAAAGUUCUUGGACUGUUUAGCAUAUAAGACCGUUUGCUUCUCGAUUCAUGACUAGAUGUUGAAUCUGAAACCUAGAUUUUCAAAAAUGGAGUUUAAACGAAAAUUCAACAUGGAAAACUCACCACCUCCGCCACGUCCAAUCACUCCUCACUGGCUGCUCCAAUCAACGGCAGGUCCGCACUCCUCCUCAGCCAAUCAUCUCCCAGGGCAUCACUUUUAAAGACCCUCUGCAUGGAAAACACCGCUCUUCUGCUGUGCUUCGACAAUCAGCUGCGACAUGUCCGACUAGUUUCUGGCGACUGUUUCCUCGUACUGUUUGUGACGAAUUCCGCCCUCCUUCUCUGCUUGUAGAAGCGUUUGACUGGCCUCCUGCCUAAUGGCCCCUUUUCCCCUUGUCUCAGCUCCGGGCAUGUGGAAAGUGCUUUAAGAACUCCUCCAAUCCAUCUACUAAGUGUUGCUGAAGUCGCCCUGCCUUCUCCGCGGCUCCUGCCGCCGCGUCACCCGGCCCGGCUUCUCCAGUGGUUCUCUUCCGAUCUCGUCUCUCAAACCAAUCUUCCCACUACCCAGGCUCUGACAUCUUCUUCUACGCCGGUCAUCCCACAAUCUUCCCUGCUUCAUUCAUCUUGUCCAUGGAUUCUGUCCAGAGUUUAAUAUCUUCUUUACUCAGCUCCUCCAGGAGUUCGCCUCUAAUUCUGCCACAUCAGCAUUUCCUCAGCUCCGACAACGUUCAACUUGCUGCUAAAAAAACAAUUUAAAACUGCAACAAGCAAUUGUUUUGAGGAGAAGAAAGUGCAGGAAGCGAAAGAGGCUUUUACACCAGACUCUCGCCACACCAGUGUUUGUUUGAAAGAUUCACCUGGAGCUCCGCCACUGGCAGGCAAUUCCAACCAGCCUCGUCAUGCUCCUCAUUCAGCCUCUUCAGGCUCAUCACUAUCUACGCCAUUGGCAGGCGUUUCAUGCAGCCGUCGGGUUCACACACGUCAUUGGCAGGCGUUUCAUGCAGCGGUCGGGCUCACACACGCCAUUGGCAGGCGUUUCAUGCAGCCGUCGGACUCGCACACGCCAUUGGGAGGCUUACAUACAGCCGUCGGGCUCACACACGCUAUUGCCAGGUGUUUCAUGCAGCCGUUGGGCUCAAUCGUUAUUGGCAGGCGUUUCAUGCAGCCGUCGGGCUCUCACACGCCAUUGGCGGGCAUUUACAAACAUGCCUUGGCAAGCAUCUCAAUCCUAAGCCUUGUCAGGCAUUCAUCUAACCACCUUGACACUGCCAGGUACAGCCCAUCUUCACCCGACCUGGCAUCGGCCAUCCACGCAUCAUCAGUCAUAACUCAGGAUGAUGAGAGGCUUUUUGCAUGCAUGAGGACUAGUGGUUCCACAGCGGAAGGUCCAUGAGAUGUUGGCUCGAAUAAACCCUAAGGCAACUGCAAUGAGCUGGAGCAGUGCAGUGUCUCGACGUGUCUAUCAUGUCCCAUACCCCAACAGUUUGUGGCAUAUUGAUGGCAACAUGCGUCUCAUAAGAAAACACCACCUUGUGUGGGAAUGGAUUUCACCAGCUCCAGCCUACCUUGACAGGAACUGAUGACAUCUAUGGCCUACGACCGUUAUAAUGUAAUGUUUAUAACAUUUAUAAUAACAAAUAUCGGAUGCUGCUCAGCUUGUUGUCUUCUUAAAAUGACUUUAUGCUUUUGUGUGUAAAUUUGUUAAAUAAACUAUG